rnacentral:rRNA from 1 species
GUCUACGGCCAUACCACCCUGAACGCGCCCGAUCUCGUCUGAUCUCGGAAGCUAAGCAGGGUCGGGCCUGGUUAGUACUUGGAUGGGAGAAAGCAAUGGCUUUCAUAAACU